GAUGGCAGAAACAACCUGCAAUCUUGAACAAAAGCCGAUAAUGAUAUUAUCAAGUCCAAACAAAACGAAGAAUACCGAUUCUUCCAGAUUUCACAAUCGGACAAAUAGCUAGUGUUGGAAAUGAAUUCCAUUUUGGGAUUACAGUUUUGCCCUGAAUAGUUGAAUAUAUAAGAGGGAUCUCCGGUACUAUCCUAAUUCGAGAAGCCUCCAUUGUCGUCAGCAUCUGCUUUUAGCCGACAUCAAACUUCUCCAUCAAGAUCAACAUCAGCACAGAUCGACUUGGAUCCAUUCACGUGCUAUUGUCAUGAUUGAAACAGAAAGAAGAAGACCUUUGAGCAAUUCAAAGGAAUUCAAGAUGUGGAAUUUAUAUAAGGGGUUCAAAACAGGUGGGUCUUCUCUGGCCCAUGCUUUUGGUUUAGUUUGGAUUCUUAGAUAACUUGCCGGAAAUGAUCAGAAAAAAUGCGUUUGGGCACCAGUACAAUGGCCAGCAGUGUCUAAGCUUCAGUGACAGAUACAAGAAAAUAGAUCAACUGAUUCUACUGAGAGCUUCGAUUCCAAUUUGUCUGGCAUCUGCAUGUUUUUUCCAGCUUGAGUCAUUCGGUCAUAGUUUCAAAUUCAGUCUUCAGCUUUAAAGGCUUAACUUGGUUGAUUACAGCAGCUAUGGCUGGUUGCUUCUUAUGGAUUACAUAUUGGCUAAAAGCAUUUCAGCAAGUCAGAUAUAUGGCGCCUGUCGCAGCUAAAGAGACAUUCUACACCUCAGGAUGUUUGCCAAGAUUUUGCACCAGUGGCAAAGAAUGAUGGAAGCAGCAACUUUCAAAUUAAGACAUUUGUAAAUGCCAUAGCAGCACCGAUGUACCUAAUUGGAUCAAAAUCGCUCAUGUAUGUAUCUGGUUAACAUACCAGAUUUUCAAAUCUGUAAAAGAUACUUUGAUUACGGACAUAAUAUUUUGAACGUUUGUUUUUGUUGUAGUUAAACUUAUAACCAACCCCGCAGCAUCACGCGGAAUUGAUCUCUAUCGUUGUCUACACAAGCAAUUACUCUCCUGAACAACAGUAAUGUUAUGAGAUCAGGGAUACCAUGUAAUAUUAUGUAAUAAUUUCUUUCUUCCA